rnacentral:rRNA from 1 species
AUUGAACGCUGGCGGCAGGCCUAACACAUGCAAGUCGAGCGGAUGAAGGGAGCUUGCUCCUGGAUUCAGCGGCGGACGGGUGAGUAAUGCCUAGGAAUCUGCCUGGUAGUGGGGGAUAACGUCCGGAAACGGGCGCUAAUACCGCAUACGUCCUGAGGGAGAAAGUGGGGGCUCUUCGGACCUCACGCUAUCAGAUGAGCCUAGGUCGGAUUAGCUAGUUGGUGGGGUAAAGGCCUACCAAGGCGACGAUCCGUAACUGGUCUGAGAGGAUGAUCAGUCACACUGGAACUGAGACACGGUCCAGACUCCUACGGGAGGCAGCAGUGGGGAAUAUUGGACAAUGGGCGAAAGCCUGAUCCAGCCAUGCCGCGUGUGUGAAGAAGGUCUUCGGAUUGUAAAGCACUUUAAGUUGGGAGGAAGGGCAGUAAGUUAAUACCUUGCUGUGUUGACGUUACCAACAGAAUAAGCACCGGCUAACUUCGUG